rnacentral:rRNA from 1 species
AGCGAACGUUUGCGGCGGGCUUAACACAUGCAAGUCGAACGGGCUGUUCCUUCGGGGGCAGUCAGUGGCGCACGGGUGCGUAACACGUAGGUAAUCAACCCUCUGGUUGGGGAUAACACUUCGAAAGGAGUGCUAAUACCCGGUAUGGCGCAGCGGUCUUCGGAUCGCGGCGAGAAAGACCCGCAAGGGUUGCCAGAGGACGAGCCUGCGGCCCAUCAGCUAGUUGGCGAGGUAACGGCUCACCAAGGCGAAGACGGGUAGCUGGUCUGAGAGGAUGGUCAGCCACACUGGAACUGAGACACGGUCCAGACUCCUACGGGAGGCAGCAGUGGGGAAUAUUGCGCAAUAGGGCGGAAAGACCUGACGNAGCCACGCCGCGUGAGCGAUGAAGGACCGCGUGUAGUACGUA